CUGACUUCACUACUGAGCAGCCCAACAUACCAAUCCUCUCUGACUGUGAGUCCAGGAUAGUCUGUCUUCCGCUGAUUCUCUCUACAGAGAAACCUACGACCAUAAACCCUACUUCGAGCUCUCUGCCGCCCCCUGACACCUCAGCUCCGCCCCCAGCUUCAGACCGCCUCCACCUUGUGUUCAGACUGGUCUGCCACCUGGUGGUGUUCUGUCCGUACUGCAUCUCCACUUUCAUCAUGGUGUCUUUAUAUAGUCAGAGGGCCACAGGAAAUGACCUGCCUGUCUCCGUGGUGAUGACCCCACUCAACCAGGCUGAGACGGGAUUGGACGAAGACUAUGAUGAUGUCACCACGGAGCAUCACUUCUGAACUGAUCUGAGAAGAAGCUCAAAUGUUUCAAGUCCUCAUAAAUCAGAAAGAGUGGCAGCCUCAGAACUCUUCCCUGUGGAUCUCCACAUGUUCUAGUUUUAAAAUUCUGCCAACAGCUGACAGUUUGAAACAUAGAAAUAAAAUGGAUCAUUUCAUUUCUAUAGUUUGCAGCUGAUUUGACCGUACCAAAACCAGCCUCUGAAAACGUAACCAGCUGAGUCGCAGCGACACCAUCAGCUUGUUUUAGUCGAGCUGAAACGGGCCGCUUCAGAAGUAAAGGUUUCUUCUCGUUGCCCUCUUUGCUCUGAACUGGACUUUAGUAGCAGAUAGUUGUUCAGGUUCUGCUGUAAGUCGUGUUGUUGGUCAUGUCUGUUUAGAUGUCAAGUUUUUAAUCUCUUCAGAUCAAAUAAAAUAAAAUGAUGAGCAUCUUUUCUCUCUGUGCUUUGUUCUAAUGUGAUCAUAACUUCACUUCUCUCAUACCCAACAGCCUGUUUCCUUGUAGCUGACAUGUGAUAUAGUCGUAUA